rnacentral:lncRNA from 1 species
GGGGAGCCGGGGAGCCGGCGGCGGUGGGGGCCGCUGUCCGCCCCAGAGGAGGCGUUGGCCUUCCUGAUGCUGGGGACGGAAGCGCCCACGUGGAAAAGGAGGCCAGCAAGAAGACGAAACGGUGUGUGAGAUAAAACGGAUCCACCCAAAUAGAGCGCAGUCUCCUCUGACCCGCCAGUGGGGGAGCGGGUGGGGUGGACGGCUGCCACGCGGAUCUCGGACCCAGCCUGUUAUUAUUAACUAAUGAAAGCGGAUUGAUGCUCACCCUUUUUGAGGAGUAAAGCGCUUACUGUGACUGAGCUGGGGAACCAAGGCAAACAACUUUCUCCCACACUUCUCAUGUGCAAACUGCAUUAGGAAGGAAAAAAGAGGAACAGCCGAAACUCUGGACGCUUUCAAUUCCCUGGGGCAGACGUGGAACGUGCACAGAAGGCAACCGGGAAUGCAAACCGUAGUUUACUAGCCUUGGUGAAGAGUUAGCUGACUCAUUAGUCCUCUCAAACCCCUGUGAAGAGUAUGCUGAUCCCCAUUUUUCUAAAUUUCACAAAUUGAAUAGCUCAGGCUCAAAGGAGUAAAAUAAUUUGGCAAACUGGAGACCCAGGAUUUAAAUACGUGCAGCGUGGCUCCAACGUUUGUUCCAUUAAGCUUUACAGUGCACUGCCUCUGCACAUCGACACCUCGCGUUCCGACUUCCUCCCAGAAGAAGGAUUUACACAUGGAAGCUCCAAUCUCAAAAAGAACAAAUAUGAAACCAAAUUUCAGCUAAAGGCAGAAAAUAUACAAAGUAGGAUAUGGAAAUAACGCCAGGCAGGAAUGGUUUUAAAAGACUAAAGAAAAGUCAAAAAGAAACGCACCUGUCUUAGUUACACUCAACUGCCACCUGGACAGUUUUACUGCCCUCAUUUAACUGAUGCUUCAGAAUUUUUUUUUUCUGCACCUUUACAAAGAGUAAUUUCAAUUGUCUUUUUCUAGUUACUCUUAAUCUCUUAGUAAGGCUAGAACCCCCACAAAGAUUCAGGUUUGCUGCAUCCAAACUUCCAACUUGUCCAAAAGGGAAAUUGUCCCAGUACAAGUUCUCUGAACAAGAAAUUACCUAGAUAUGACUCAGAUUCCCCAAACCAAACUGAAACUAAACUGCCCUGGAGCUGAGGUGAAAGGGUUGAGAGGGAGGUAAAAUGCACUCUGACCUUCAUCUGACCAGGUGAGGGCUUCAGGGAUAUGGAAGUGUGUGUCUCUACUUCCUUCCCAUUCCUAAGAGCAAGUGUACCCUGUAACUACAAGUGCACAUGAGGCAGCAUCAUAAAAAUGAAUUCCUUAUUUUAGAGCCUGUCUAUUGCAAAGGCUUUUAGUCUUGUCAAAAUCGGUAAACUCUCUGACAUUUCCUGUGGAUCACUAAGUUGGCACAGCCAGGCUCACCAUCUUCCAGUCACCUACAUUUUUCAUCAGCAGGCCAAGGUAAGGAUACCAGCGGGUGCCUCCAGAGAAUUCAAGUAUUGCUCUAACAAUGCAAGCCUUCUAAUAAUUGUUUAUGUUUAUGUUUAUGGAGACCCAGGAUUUAAAUACGUGCAGCGUGGCUCCAGCGUUUGUUCCAUUAAGCUUUACAGUGCUUUAACUUUUUACUUUGAAAUAAUCUUAGAUUCACAGGAAGUUGCCAAGAUAGUAGUCUCAGUGCUCUGCCGCAGAGUACACUCCCACCUUGUUUCUGUUUUUGAGAGGGGGUCUCGAUGAAUUGCCCAGACUGUCCUUAAACUUGUGAUCCUCCUGCCUCUUGAGUAGCUGGGAUUACCAGUGUGCGCCAACAUGCUUGCCUUCUCAGAUCUUAUGUGGGCUCCUUGCAUCUAGAAAUCAAAUUAAUUAAAGACUGAUUAAUAAUAGUACACAAUUUUAUUAAAUUUCCAUGUACAUGAGGACCUUCAAAACACAGUGAAUUCUGAAGGAGUGGCCAAAGCUCAAUGCUUUUAUACUUUUUAGACAAAGAACAACAAACUUGGGAAGGAAGGAGAAGCCAAAUCAACCUCCAGCCUAGGAUAAAUCCCAGUGAUGUCACUAAGAGAGGAAGUGUAAAAACAAGUUGGAGUGGGAUGGGAUUAGGAAAGACAGUAAAAUUAACUGGGCAUUACUUUCCUAUGUUCAUCUAUGAAUACAUGACCAGUGAAACUCCACAUCAUGUUCAACCAUGAGAUCCUGAUUAAAAUAAGUUAUGUCCUAUACAUGUUUCAUAUGUCAAAAUACACUCUACUGUCAUGUCUAUCUAAAAAGAACAAAUAAAAAAUUAGAAAAUUAAAAAAAAAAAAACGAUUGGAAGACCAGAGCUCCUUUCACCAGCUUACUUGCCCAAGUUUGUUGCAGCCUCUCAGCACUUCUCUGGUGAUCAAGGCUGCUUUCCAUGUUGGAAUGGAAGAGACAGCCCCCCAUUUUACCCGGAGGUGUAACUUUAAAUUGUUACAAAGAAUGCAAUUAUACAGACUAUUAUAAUAUUGAAAUUUUAAAAUAAAACUUUAACAUUGCUCUUAAACAUAUUCAAUGGGAUCUAAAUACUAU